GACGAACGCUGGCGGCGUGCUUAACACAUGCAAGUCGAACGGGCCCGCCCCUGUUUUUGGGGGUGGGUUGAGUGGCGAACGGGUGAGUAUCACGUGAGUAACCUGCCCCCUGCUCCUGGAUAACUGCUUGAAAGGGCGGCUAAUACGGGGUGUGCCGGCUGGUCCGCAUGGGCCUGGUCGGGAUAGUUUCAUCUUCGGGUGUUUCGGUGGGGGAUGGGCUCGCGGCCUAUCAGCUUGUUGGUGGGGUGAUGGCCCACCAAGGCGGUGACGGGUAGCCGGCCUGAGAGGGUGGGCGGCCACACUGGGACUGAGACACGGCCCAGACUCCUGCGGGAGGCAGCAGUGGGGGGGAUUGCACAAUGGGCGGAAGCCUGAUGCAGCGACGUCGCGUGAGGGAUGGAGGCCUUCGGGUUGUGAACCUCUUUCUCCGGUGGUGAAGGCCCUGUCCGUUGCGGCGGGGUUGACGGUAGCCGGGUAUGAAGCGCCGGCUAACUACGUG
rnacentral:rRNA from 1 species